GAUGAACGCUGGCGGCGUGCCUAAUACAUGCAAGUCGAGCGAACGGACGAGAAGCUUGCUUCUCUGAUGUUAGCGGCGGACGGGUGAGUAACACGUGGAUAACCUACCUAUAAGACUGGGAUAACUUCGGGAAACCGGAGCUAAUACCGGAUAAUAUUUUGAACCGCAUGGUUCAAAAGUGAAAGACGUUCUUGCUGUCACUUAUAGAUGGAUCCGCGCUGCAUUAGCUAGUUGGUAAGGUAACGGCUUACCAAGGCAACGAUGCAUAGCCGACCUGAGAGGGUGAUCGGCCACACUGGAACUGAGACACGGUCCAGACUCCUACGGGAGGCAGCAGUAGGGAAUCUUCCGCAAAGGGCGAAAGCCUGACGGAGCAACGCCGCGUGAGUGAUGAAGGUCUUCGGAUCGUAAAACUCUGUUAUUAGGGAAGAACAUAUGUGUAAGUAACUGUGCACAUCUUGACGGUACCUAAUCAGAAAGCCACGGCUAACUACGUG
rnacentral:rRNA from 1 species